CUGUCUACAGUGUUUCUUCUUCCUCUCCAUCUUAUUUUCGGAUCUUCCCUUCUACAAGUCAGCAAACGCCACCACUCAUUUCUCCAUCUUCGGCUAGUCUAUCCAUGAGCCUCCAUUGUUGUGCUUUCUCUUAAAUCUUCCUUACUAAUUUCGUGGCUCAUACUUGUGAUUUAUUUCCAUUGCAUUCCCUUUUUUUUGGUCUUUAACUGCUCUGUUUUGCCUUAUUGUCGUGCCCUAUUUUUGCCAUAAAAGCCGUGAGCUUCACUUGUUUCUUGGUGAUUUUGGUGCUUGCCGUGAGUGCAUCUUCUGCCAUCGCUUGUUGCCUCUCGGUUUCCCUUGGAUGGAGAACAAGAAUAUGAAGUAUUGGAACAAUCUGAUGAUCAUAGAUGAAUGAGCGCUAAGGGUACGAGUAUUUUGGAGGAUCAUAUUUAGUAGUUUUAUCUCUAGCGGUUAUUUUGGUACGUCAAGUUAUGAUUAAUUUGGGUCUUUGUGGAGACGUUAUUUGUUAUAUUGAGGUUUUUGUUUAGUAUUUAUGUGGAAGGAUACAGAUUUUUGGAUCGAACAAAUAAGUUACGUAUUUUGGGGAGUUUUUGUUUAUUUAUUACUGAUUAUUGGAGAUGUUCUUGAGAAAUAAGAGCUAACUCUCCAGACCUCCAGGAACGGGGCGUUACACAUACAA